CUUAGUGUGGCGUAGUGGUAAAGAGCAGGGCUUGUAACCACAAGGUUGCUGGUUCAAAUCCCAGCUAAGG